GACGAACGCUGGCGGCGUGCUUAACACAUGCAAGUCAUGGGGGCCCGACGCAAUGGGCGAACCGGCGAACGGGUGGCGUAACACGUGAGCAACCUACCGAACUGUGGGGGAGUAGCCGGCCUAACGGCCGAGUAAUACCGCAUACGCUCUCAGUGAGGCAUUUCAUUGAGAGGAAACCUACGGGACAGAUCGAGGGGCUCGCGGCCUAUCAGCUAGUUGGCGAGGUAACGGCUCACCAAGGCAACGACGGGUAGCUGGUCUGAGAGGAUGGCCAGCCACAUUGGGACUGAGAUACGGCCCAGACUCCUACGGGAGGCAGCAGUGGGGAAUCUUGCGCAAUGGGCGAAAGCCUGACGCAGCGACGCCGCGUGAGGGAUGACGGCU
rnacentral:rRNA from 1 species